AUGGAUCAGCCUGACGGGUUUGUGGUAAAGGGUGAAGAAAGAAAGGUAUGCAAGUUGUUAAAAUCUUUGUAUGGUCUGAAACAGGCACCUAAGCAAUGGCAUGAGAAGUUUGAAAGAACUUUGACUUCUGCAGGAUUUGUCAUUAACGAGGCUGAUAGGUGUGUUUACUAUCGCCAUGGUGGGGGCAAUAAUUAA
rnacentral:rRNA from 1 species